rnacentral:rRNA from 1 species
AUACAGAGGGUGCGAGCGUUAAUCGGAAUUACUGGGCGUAAAGCGCGCGUAGGCGGCUACUUAAGUCAGAUGUGAAAUCCCCGGGCUCAACCUGGGAACUGCAUCUGAUACUGGGUAGCUAGAGUUUAGGAGAGGGAAGUAGAAUUUCAGGUGUAGCGGUGAAAUGCAUAGAGAUCUGAAGGAAUACCAGUGGCGAAGGCGGCUUCCUGGCCUAAAACUGACGCUGAGGUGCGGAAGCGUGGGUAGCAAACGGGAUUAGAAACCCCGGUAGUCC